AUAUUCACUUUGGCAGCACUUAUACUGAAAUUGAAAUGAUACAAAGAAGAUUAACAUGGCUCCUGUGCAAGGCUGACACCCAGAUUCAAGGAGAAAUCCUGU